CGACGGCCGAGCGAUUUAUUUAUUUAUACAAGCACUGGGUACAGUCAGAAGUGCGAGAGGGUGAGAGAAUUCACCAGAGCCAGAGCAGGGAGCAGAGAAGGCAGAAGGACCGAAGUACAUUGCUGAGGGAGCAGCGGGCGGCAGGAGAGGUCUGCGCACCAUGUGGGACCCUCUUCCGGUGGCCAGGGAGCAGCCGGGGAUCGAACCAGCACUGCAGAGGCCUCAGGCAGCUUCGCAACCCAGAGCUCAACCACUGAGCCACCAGGGAGGUCCCCUCUUGUGUUUUUUAAAUAAGAAUGUCUCACCCCAUGCUCCACCCCCAGAAAACUUUUCCUCAUAUGAAUUACCUCUGCAUUCUGCCAGUAACUUUCACAUUAUGCAUAGGAAUAUAAUAAAAAUGAACAUACGAUUCUGCCUGACAAACAUAAAACCAAAAAAGUAUUUGGGGAUUGAAUUUAUUGAAUAAAUAAGAUUAACUGAAUGUUGAUGGAAGAACAGUUAAUUGUUAAUUAACAGUUAAUUAACAGUUUCUUGAAAAGUAUAUUUUUUAUAUAUAUGUAAAUAAAAGGUCUAUUUUCUUCUGAAUAACAUUGAAAACAUAUUGAUCAAGGUAAUAUAUAAACAUAAUUAGGAAAUUUCUAGAAGAAUCUGAGUGUAGUACCAUUCAAAAUUCACAGUCCUUGAGAUCACGGAGUCAUAUCUUUCUCAGUCUAGUAAAAAUAUCACGAAUUGUGUACAUCAUUUUAGUAAGGUUUUAAAGAAGUCAUCACACAGGCAUCAUUGAGCAAAUCGGAAUCUAUUCAACAGUAGUGAGCAACACAUUCUUAUUUCUGAAAUGCCACGUUAGCUACAUGAAAAUUAUCAAUAUUUAUAUACAAAGAAAAGUGAUAGAAUUUGUGAUUACUGAUUAGUCUAAAUCGUCAGACUCAUCCAGAUACUUCUUUUACGUCUGAGAGAUAUGUGUACUGUUACGGAGCAUCAGAUAAAAUCCAGCUGUACUUUAAUCCCAUUUCAAUCUAUCCUCACAGAAAAUAUUGACUCUUUUUUUUCCUGCAGACAUGCAGCUGUCAACUAUCCAAUUAUGGGUCUAGAUUUGCAUUACACUUUUAUUUCCUACCUGUUCCUUUUCAUCUAAAACACUUGUCCCUUGAAAUAGCUUUCACUGUCUGAAUAUGAAGGCAGGAAGUGCAGUGUCAUCAAACCUGUUGGAUAAUGUUCAUGGGCACAACAAAUAAUAUUGGCUAAAUUUAAGGGGAUGUAUUUCUGCUUUUAGAAGUGGUAAAAUCACUACUUAUCGCCAUGCAUUGUUAAUGUCAUAGUUAUCGUUCCAGUAAAAAUUUCAUUCCGUACCAAUAUGUAUGACAUUCUGCCCCCCACCCCCAAAGUAAAGUCUUUAGCACAUUGAAAUACCCACAAAGUAUGUGCACUUGAUUGAAAAGUAGGUGAAAUUACAGAAGCUCCUAGGGAUAUAUAUAGACUGGGAUUUCUGGAAAUCUUAAAGAUUUAUAAGCAAUAGCAGAAAGUAUAUAUAUUGUAAAGAUUAGUGAAGACCCACAAGAUUGUGGUGAUCAUUAAAUCCAAAUGCAACAGUUCAACAGAAUAAAAAAUUCUUUCUUAUGAAUUCUUUCUUAGAACAGUUCUCUUGAACCAACCAUUUUUUUCCUGCUUGGUCUUAUAAGAAUACUAGCAACCUCUGACUCACAGAUCAAUUAUCCUAGAUAAUAUCAUAGUAUAUUACAUCAAUUCUUUGGAUGUGGACUAAAAGGUCAUUGAGAAGGAACAUGAGCUUCUUAUUAUGUCCAUAGGUAACAUCUGUCACAUUUGUUCACUUUGUAUUGGGAAGAACGAGUCACAUGAUCACUCAUAACUGUACAGGAACUGGGAAAGCUACUUUUGCAUCACUAAUUUCAGGCUAUAACUAUUAUGGAAUUGAAAAAGGAUUUAUAGGUAGCUUCUUGUCUUUAAUAUAGAGAAAUAUUGCCAUUCAAUUGUUCUGAACGUAAGAGGGUGUUUUUGUUGCAGGUUUUGUGGGGUUUUUUGGUCUGUUUAUAUUUUGCCUGCUCAAUUUUCUGGCCAACUAGGUACAUAUAAAGCCCCAAAAUGCAAAUUAACUCAUAUUGGGAACAAUAGAAUGAAAUAAAUCUGCAAAAACAAGGUCAGUAUAUAGAGCUCAUCUCACUAAACAGGAAAGAAUUGAACUCAAUAGUCUAUAUCCAUGUAGAAAAUGCUUGAAUUAAGGUGAAUGCUUGAAUUAAUAAGGUGAACAGAUUUUUGACUUUGAGAUUCAUGUAACAUUCACAGUGAAGAUACCCUAAAAUGUCAUUUAUAUUUGACUGCAUUGCAAAGACCCUUUAUAUUUUUGUGUACAAUGAAUAAUAUUCUCAAUUCUGAAUCUUAUAGGAACAUCCAGGGAAAAGAAAUAAUGCCCCAGGCAAACAUGCAUGAAAUUAAUUAGCAUCAUAGAGUAAAUGCCACAUUUGGCCUUAUAUGGUGGCAGCCCUGUAUGAGUCACUGAAAUGGCUUUAAAAUAGAAAUGUUUGCUGAUAGCCCCUGACAUAUUCAUCUUUUUCUCCCAGCAUAAAUACUCAGUGAGUACAAAGGAGAUUAUUUUUUUUAAGAUUUAUUUAUUUAUUUAUAUAGGCACUGGGUACAGUCAGAAGCACGGGAGGGUAAGAGAAUUCGCCAGAGCCAGAGCGGGGAGCAGAACAGGCAGGCUGAGGAAGUACACUGCUGAGGGGAGCAGCGGGUGGCAGGAGAGGUCUGCGCGCCAUGUGGGACCCUUCUGGCGGCCGGGGAUCAAACCAGCACUGCGGAGGCUGUGGGCAGCUUCACAACCCAUCGCUCAACCGCUGCACCACCAGGGGAGGCCCACAAAGGAGACUAUUUUACAAUAAUAUACACAUUCAGUUCAUAAAGCAAAAGGAAAGUAAGAGGGCUCAUUUGCAUGUCUGGACCUGGGAUUUCUUGCAUAGCACUCCAACAAUACACAAGAGUCUUGCCAGGUCCCCAUACCAAAAGCUUUCCCUAUGGUCCGUGUGCCCCAGAAAAUGGGUGAUCUUGGCUUUCUUUUCCUUAUAUAAUAAGUUUCUUUUCUGGAUUUAUUGGACUGCUUUCUAUGGAAAUUUUCAUCUUUCUCCAAUUUCUCGCUCUCUCUAGUCUAUAGGUAGAGUGUACCAAUGAUGUUCCUGAUGCUGGUUUUCAUGGAAAGUCUUGUAGAGUUGUCCUUUCAGAACGCUCAGAUGGAACUCGUGAAGCAGAGUCUGCAGAUGGCUUCACAGUGUGGUGCUUAACCCCUGCGCCAUCAGAGAGGCGCCACGCCUUGCUUUUAUGUCAGCUUCAGGGUCUGGCUGCGGCGGACACUGUCGGUGAAAGGCUGGGAAUCCCGGAGCGUGCAACAGACCCGCCUGUGCCUUCUGCCCCAUCCUGCCUGCCCCAGCCCACUGUGACCUGCUCGUUAGCUGGAGUUAUGUUGGGACAAGGCCUGGGGGUGGACUAAAAGUUUCAGGGAGUGACUGGCCAGGAGCCUGAUUUGUGCCCCCCAGAUGACCAGGUGAGCUCUUAGAAGUCUCCUGCUUCUCUACUCCCUGCUUGCUUCAAGUUGCAAAUGUGCCCCUGCUGGGGCCAUGGGUACUCUGUCACCCAAUGGCUCAGGGCUCGGACUUUGGAAAAAGAUCACCUCUGGGCCUGCGGGAUAAAUAAAGAAGAAAUUUUUCCAUAACCUCUUACAAUCUAAAAAUCAAAAGGUAGAAGGUCCUAACUCUAAAUGCAAAUAAAGCGAGGUGUGUUAAGAAUUGUAUUUAAAAUAGGGCCUCCGGGCCUUCCCUGGUGGCAUAGGCGGUUGAGCACAGUGCUGUGAAGCAGUGCUGUGAAGCUGUCCGCAGCCUCUGCAGCGCCUGUUUGAUCCCGGCUGGCUAGAGAGGGUUCCACAUGGCACAGCAGACCUCUCGUGUCACGCCUGCUGCUCCCCUUAGCAGUGCAUUUCAGUCAGUCUGCUUGUUCUGUUCCCUACUCUGUCUCUGGUGAAUCCUCUCACCCCCCAAAUCUCUGGUCUGUACCCCAGUUCUUGUGUGCAUAAAUAAAUAAAUCUUAAAAGAUUAUUUAUGCACACAAGAACUGGGUUGUAAGCCAGACAUGGGGGUUGUGUUUGAGAGGAUUCACCAGAGACAGAGUUGGGGGCAGAACAGACAGACUGACUGAAACACACUGCUGAGCAGUGCAGCGGGGAGACAGGAGGGGUCUGCACACCAUGUGGGCUGCUCCGAGGCCUGCGGAAUCGACCUGGCACUGCGGACAGCUCCACAGGCUGCGCUCAACCUGCUGCGCCAAUGGGGAGGCCCUAAAACACAUUUUCAAUGGAAAUAGUAAUUUUAAUUUUGGAAAUGACCUAAGGAAAUGCUUUCAAAAUCAGAUAAAUCUUUAUGUGUAACAACAAUACCAGAAUUGUCAGGCCUAGUCUGCCAGCCAGGAACGGAUCCCAGGCUGCAGGGCAGCACAGAGCCCCAGCCACUAGACCCCCACGGGUUGGUGUCUCACAAAGCCGCAGCAGGAACUUCGCAGACGCUCAGGCAAGCAAGCGAGAAGAGGCAGUUUGUUUAUAGAAAGAAAAAGUUUAUUGAGGAGAAAAAGAACAGAAAUAAAGUGGGACUCCCAGGCCAGGGAACCAGGCCUGGGAGGGGCAAGGAAGCCAAAGUGGAGUCGUGUCUCAGGGAAUAUAUACCUUUUUUCCCUCAUUAUUCUAAAGCUCCACCAGUCUCUUUGUGAUUGGUUAGUUCUCGGCUGUCUCACUUAAUUUGCUACUGAGCAGGGGAUCUUUACAUUCCUUAUCUAACAGCUUUGUCUUUCCCCAUUUGUUGCAUCUUUAAAUUUAUGGCCCAGUCUUCUGGAUGGACAUCCCUGCAUUGAAGUUAAACAGCUGCCCUUCUAAUGUGUCCAUAAAUUAAACCACUCUCCAUUUCUCCAGUCUCCGCCUCCCUUUACCACCUGAAGGAAACCAGGACUAGCAUUAACAAUGUUGUCCUUGGUCCUGGAUGUUUGUUUUUCCUAGUGGAAUGGGUUACUUUCCCUUGGUUGUCCUUAUCUCUGAAGCCUCCCUAAAUUCUUCAGAGGUCCCCUCCUGCACUGUCCCUAAAACUGCAUAAUUCCUAGCUUGCCCUGUGUCUUAACAAUGUUCAAUAACACUUUAUUUACAGUAAAAUGAUUCGAAACUAUCCAAAUAAAAACCCCCAAUAUACACAAAAUUAAAUGUAAAAGCUGGAUACAGUAACACUGAACAGUCUUUAAUGGUGUGAAAAGUCCUUCUAUUAGUGUUAAAUGUUGAAAGUGGAGAAUCCUGGCAGUGCUGUGAUCCCACCACAGAAGAAACAUUAAUGACACACCCUCUCCUUACCCCUCACGUGUGAGGAUGAUACCGGAAUUGUCAGGCCUAGUCUCCCAGCCAGGAAGGGAUUCUAGGCUGCAGGGCAGUGCUGAGCCCCAGCCACUAGACCCCCCAUGGGUUGGUGUCUCAGGAAGCCACAGCAGGAACUUCGCAGACACUCAGGCAAGCAAGCGAGAAGAGGCAGUUUGUUUAGAAAAAGAAAAAGUUUAUUGAGGAGAAAGAGCAGAAAUAAAGUGGGACUCCCAGGCCAGGGAACCAGGCCUGGGAGGGGCAAGGAAGCCAAAGUGGAGUCGUGUCUCAGGGAAUAUAUACCUUUUUUCCCUCAUUAUUCUAAAGCUCCACCAGUCUCUUUGUGAUUGGUUAGUUCUCGGCUGUCUCACUUAAUUUGCUACUGAGUAGGGGAUCUUUACAUUCCUUAUCUAACAGCUUUGUCUUUCCCCAUUUGUUGCAUCUUUAAAUUUAUGGCCCAGUCUUCUGGAUGGGCAUCUCUGCAUUGAAGUUAAACAGCUGCCCUUCUAAUGUGUCCAUAAAUUAUUUUUUUUUUUUUCUUUAAUACCUCCUCAAGGGUAUGCUACCGCACCUCCACACCCUCACCAAAAUACCAGUAACCCUCUACCAUAGUUCAAUGGGCCCCUUCCGUGCUUUGCUUUGACCCCUCCUCCCUCCAUAGUAACUUCAGUUCUGCAGUCAGAAUCCAAGAGUUUGUUUUGGCUUCAUUUCCUCUCUUCUGUAGGUUUGUGUCUUUAGAUUCCAUAUGUAAGUGACAUCAUCUGGUAUUUCUUUCCCCUUCGAACUUAUGUUGUUUAUCAUAAUCCUCUCCAGUUCCAUCCAUGUUGUAGCAAAUGACAAAAUUUGAUCUUUUUAUUUUUAUAGCUCAGCAAUAUUUCAUUUUAUAUGUAUAUACUACAUCUUCAUUGUCUAAUCAUCUGUCCUUGGGCAUUUACAUUGUUUCUGCAACUUAGUUAUUGUAAAUAAUGCUGCCGUAAACACAGGAGUGCAUAUAUCUUUUUGAAUAAGUGUUUUUAUAUUCUUCAGAUAGGUACCUAGGAGCAGGAUUGCUGGAAUGUAAUAUUUUUCAGAAACCUCCAUGCUGUUUUCCAUAGUGACUGGACCAGUUUACAUGCCCAGCAAUAGUAUCGAAGGGUCCUUUUUCUCCAUACCUUGGCAUCACUUGUUUUUUGGUCUUUUUGAUGUGGGUCAUUCCCACAGAUAGGAGGUGACAGCUCGUUGUGGUUUUGAUUAGCAUUUCUCUGAUGAUGUGAUGAUGUGAACAUUUCUUCUUGAGCCUGUUGACUAGCUAUCUGUAUGUCUUCUUUGGAGAAGUAUCUAUUCAAAUCCUCUGCCUAUUUCUUGAUUUUUUUUUUUUUAAAUAUUAAAUUUUAUUUUUAUAUUCCCCCAUACAAUUGCAAACGCCCCAUUCUGACCCCAA